rnacentral:snRNA from 1 species
AGCUCUGCGCAGGGGCAGUGUCGCAGCCAAUGAGGUUUAUCUGAGGCGCGGUUAUUGCCAAUUGAAAGCUUCUCCCAAUACACUGCCAUGACGACUUGCAGUGUAGUCAGCAUUGGCAGUUUUUGACAGUUCCUACAGGGA